GCUCCGGCGGUGAAGGAUGAGCCCGCGGCCUAUCAGCUUGUUGGUGGGGUAAUGGCCUACCAAGGCGACGACGGGUAGCCGGCCUGAGAGGGCGACCGGCCACACUGGGACUGAGACACGGCCCAGACUCCUACGGGAGGCAGCAGUGGGGAAUAUUGCACAAUGGGCGAAAGCCUGAUGCAGCGACGCCGCGUGAGGGAUGACGGCCUUCGGGUUGUAAACCUCUUUCAGCAGGGAAGAAGCGAAAGUGACGGUACCUGCAGAAGAAGCGCCGGCUAACUACGUGCCAGCAGCCGCGGUAAUACGUAGGGCGCAAGCGUUGUCCGGAAUUAUUGGGCGUAAAGAGCUCGUAGGCGGCUUGUCACGUCGGAUGU
rnacentral:rRNA from 1 species